AUUGAACGCUGGCGGCAGGCUUAACACAUGCAAGUCGAGCGAGCGGCGGACGGGUGAGUAAUGUCUGGGAAACUGCCUGAUGGAGGGGGAUAAAUACUGGAAACGGUAGCUAAUACCGCAUACCAUCAGAUGUGCCCAGAUGGGAUGAGCUAGUAGGUGGGGUAAUGGCUCACCUAGGCGGCGAUCCCUAGCCGGUCUGAGAGGAUGACCGGCAACACUGGAACGGAGACACGGUCCAGACUCCUACGGGAGGCAGAAGUGGGGAAUAUUGCACAAUGGGGGCAAGCCUGAUGCAGCCAUGCCGCGUGUGUGAAGAAGGCCUUGGGGUUGUAAAGCACUUUCAGCGGGGAGGCGUUACUCGCAGAAGAAGCACCGGCUAACUCCGUGCCAGCAGCCGCGGUAAUUC
rnacentral:rRNA from 1 species